rnacentral:lncRNA from 10 species
ACAGUUCUUUGCUUUUCGCCAGCUGAAGUGAAGGACACUUGGUCAGCUAAUGUCAAAUUGUACAUUUAUCUUAGUUUUUUUCUAAUUUUAAAGGUGAUUUUAUAUAAGUGUUGAAGAGGAAACAUAACUUUUUCCUCAAUCGUCACGAAUUCUUAGUUGGAACGGACCCUUGUAACAAAAGUCAGAUUAAUGAGAAAAACCAAAGUUUAUUAACAUGUGCCUUUCAUAUAUACACAGGAGCUACCCAGGGAAUGAGUCAUUCUCAUAGUGGUGGCUUUGAAUUCCAGCUUAUAUAGCAUCUUCAACAAAGAACAGUAGAUUUUUAGAGAUGUGACAAGAUGAAGAGGAUUUUGAAUCUCCAGGGGCAGCAACUUGAGGAAAGGCAAGUGAGAUGAAGGCUGGUCUGUAAAGCUUGUUCAUGUAGAUUCCUCUGGUGCCAUCUUCAGGUCACUGAGGGUCUAACGUUGUCAUCAGUGGGAGACCUUUGUGCUCCCUGGGAGAAGGGGGUGGGGGUGGGAUCCCAUUUGUCUUUGUAAAUUUGUGUCUACUUUUAGGCAAAUAGAGGAAGGGCAAAGAGCUUUCUUGCAUCUGCCUCGUCUUAUCUUCAGCUCAACAAUCCUCAUGCCAAAGAGGCAUAUUUUGGGGUGGCAAAUUCUCGUCUCCCACAUAAGGAAAGACUCUGCCUCCACUGGGUCUCCCAAAGUAUUUGCACUUAUGUCAGUUUUUGCUUUCGAAAUGGAAAUGUUACCUCUGAAUGUGGUAAGAGAGUGAAGUCAGGCCUCUGUACACCAGGAAUUGCUUAGAAUGAGUCACAAACCAUCUUAAAAAUGUAGGAAAUUAGGAAUUAAUUUAUCAAACAGUUUUUUCUUCUUAAAUCAGUUUCAUUGAAUUAUAAUUUUCAUACAAUAAAGUGUAUCCAUUUUAAGUGUACAGCUGAAUAGAUUUUUGUUGUUGUUGUUUUGAGACAGGGUCUCACUCUGUUGCCCAGGCUGGAGUGCAGUGGCAUGAACACAGCUCACUGCAGCCUCAGCCUCCCUGGGCUCAGGUGAUUCUCCUCUCUCAACCUCCAGAGUAGCUGGGACCAGGGGCAUGCGCCACCAUGCUCUGCUAACUUUUGUAUUUUUUUGUAGAGACGGGGUUUCACCAUAUUGCCCAGGCUGGCCUGGAGCUCCUGGGCUCAAGCAGUCCACCUGCCUUGGCUUCCCAAAGUGCUGAGAUUACAGGCAUGAGCCACUGCGCCUGGCCCAGUUGAUGAGUUUUGACAAACAUUUACCUUCAUCAAGAUACAGAACAUUUCCAUCACCCCAGAGCCCUCAUCAAGAUACAGAGCAUUUCUAUCAACCCAGAAAAUUCCCUCAUGUCCUUUGGUAGUUCAUCCUCAUCAGGCUGGCUCUACAGUACAGAUUCACCUUCCUUUGGCGGCUCAUUUGCUGCCUUUCCUAAAGAUACAGAGGUGAACAAACCAAGGUCCCUGUGGUCAUGGGCUUCCAUGCUAGUGCUGGGGGUGUAAGCAAUCCUUUAGCUCCUUCAAGCUCCACUUUAGCUAACUCAUCUCCGCUACUGGAUACCGAGACUCUGUUUGGACCUUUAGAGGAUAUCCCACAUGGGGGCCUCCUACUUCCCUCAAACUCCUUAUCCCUUCCCAUGGGUCUCUUUAAGGCCUCCACAGCCUGUGUCUCUAAUCCUUCCCUUAGAAUAGAUCACUCUCCCGCCAGGUGAGGAAGUUCCUGCUGUGCCUGGCUGCAGUUCAAUGUUAAGGGAGUCUUCCUCUGUUCUGGUUUUUUUUUCUGCUAUAGCGUGGGGUGCCAGCCCUGGAGCUCUGAGUGAGUGACAGUGAGGAAUAGAGUUGCUGAGUGCUUCAGAUUCCUUUGUUCUCCUUCUCUAGACAGCAGUAGUUUGUUUUAGAAAGAACAUCCAGUGCACAAGAAUUAUUUAUAUCCUGGCACAGUGGCUCAUGCUUGUAAUCCCAGCACUUUGGGAGGCCAAGGCAGGCAGAUUGUUUGAGCUCAGGAGUUUGAGACCAGCCUGAGCAACAUGGCAAAACUGUCUCUACUAAAAAUACAAAAAUUAGCCCAGCAUGAUGGCCUGCUUCUGUAGUCCCAGCUACUUGGGAGGCUGAGGUGGGAGGAUUGCUUGAGCUUGGGAGGUUGAGGCUGCAGUGAGCUGAGAUCCACCACUGCACUCCAGCCUGGGUGAUAGAGACCCUGUCUC